rnacentral:piRNA from 1 species
GUCUCUGAGAUUAGAACGACGGUGUAG